rnacentral:rRNA from 1 species
UAUUGCACAAUGGGCGAAAGCCUGAUGCAGCGACGCCGCGUGGGGGAUGAAGGUCUUAGGGUUGUAAACCCCUUUCAGCAGGGAAGAAGCGAGAGUGACGGUACCGGCAGAAGAUGCUCCGGCUAACUACGUUCCAGCAGCCGCGGUAAUACUCAGGGCGCAAGCGUUGUCCGGAAUUAUUGGGCGUAAAGAGCUCGUAGGCGGUCAGUCGCGUCUGCUGUGAAAACCCGAGGCUCAACCUCGGGCCUGCAGUGGGUACGGGCUGACUAGAGUGCGGUAGGGGAGACUGGAAUUCCUGGUGUAGCGGUGGAAUGCGCAGAUAUCAGGAGGAACACCGAUGGCGAAGGCAGGUCUCUGGCCCGGAUCCGACGCUGAGGCGCGAAAGCGUGGGGAGCAAACA